CCUUUGUCUCCCGAACAGAUCCCCUCCUCUCUCCCUCGUCUCUCCCCAUCCCCAUCCCCUCCCCUCCCUAUACCGUACCGAGGCAGCCCCAUGGAGGCUCACCCAUCUCCUUCAGCCCUUCUCACACGGCCGCCCCCCACCUGCUCUCUCCCUAAUCCCUAUCUCACACCCGAAGCCUCUCCUCCUCUCUAACCCUCCUCGCCUUCCUCCGUCCUUCCAUGGCGUCCGCCGGCUCGACCUCGGCGUCCCACUUCGCAGGCUCGAGCCCACCCCGACGGAUCCGCCACUAGCGAGGCCUCGCGCAGCUGGCCUCGACCCCACCACACCAGAUCCGCCGCCGCCCUCCAUCCGCCGGAUCCACUGCGCCUGAGCCCACGCGUCGCCGGAUCCGCAGCGCCCUAGCUUGCGUGCUUUCGGAUCCACCUCCUCCCAACCAUGGCGCCACCGGAAACGCCGCCCCCUAGCCCACCCGACACGGGCUCCGGUGCCGUCGGCCUCUUCUCCGGCCGGAUCUGGCCUCCCCUCUCAGAGCCGGCGACGAGCAGCUCCGUCGGCGGCACCGCCGCACCGGCGUCCUCCGACGUGCGUUUGGGGCGGGUCUGCGAGUGGCCCAUAUUAUUUUUUAUUUUUGCUGAAAUUCUAUUAGUGUCGGAUCUGUAUGUGCCCGCCACUGGUGGGUGCCCCCGUCGGUGUCGGUUCGAGCACAUGCCACUGAUCCUUUUUUUUCCGCCAGAGAUGGCCCUUUUUGUAGUAGUGUAUCAUUUUACUACUAUCUCAUAUGAAAAUCAGAAUUAAUUGACGAAGUAGACAACUUAGAAGAAUCCCAUGCUUUUAACGUCAAAUAAAAGAAAGAAAGAUUCUCAUGUGUA